rnacentral:ncRNA from 1 species
AUCAGGGGCCCUGGCAAGGGCCUUCGGAUCGCCGCUCUAAGCUACCCACCUGAGCCGAUUCGUGUCUGUACCGCCCACAAGGUGUGUUUGACGAGGUUGCGACUGGAACGAAGUUGUCCCGAGGGACGGAAGCUAACCAGGUAACCCGGCUACACGCUGCUGAACACCUAAGGGCCCACGACGCCUGAAGACUGUUCCUGGUCUGCCUUUACCUGCUCCCCCCUCUCGCCAAUCGUUC